rnacentral:lncRNA from 1 species
UGUACGUAGGAACAAAAUGUACGUAGGAACAAAAUGUACGUAGGAACAAAAUGUACGUAGGAACAAAAUGUACGUAGGAACGAAAUGUACAUAGGAACGAAAUGUACAUAGGAACGAAAUGUUCAUGAACAGGUUUCUUAUCAUAGUUCAAACUACUCUGAAAAUGUUCAUAUGCGCUGUAAUAGCAUUAUAAUGCUUAUGACGCCCAGCAUUCAUUGUUGGUAUCGAUGGCUCACAACUGUACACGGUAACUGAAGUAAAGACUUUCUGCGCCGCCUGUUUUCAUUUAUAGUCGGGCCUCCGUGCCAUAAGGUCUUGAUGUAGCUUUGUCGGUACGUUUCUAGAAUGAACCGAGGUUUUCACGGUACGCCUCUAGAAUGAACUGAAAUAUGCUUUUCGGUCUAAUAAUAACAUAGGUUAACGCGAAGCACCAUAGACCAUAGUAUAUAAAGCAUUAGAUGCAGUAGAUUCAGUCCAAGUGCAACUUUCUCUGCUAGAUUUUACCACGGGAUAACAUAGUGGGAAAAGGCGGUAGAUAGAAUUUGCCGGGAUUGCUAAUAUACAGGACCUGGAUGCUAAAGGAUGAUUCUAUAGCACGGCGCACAAGGCACAACGGACGUACAGGGUACGACGUUCCGAAAGCCGUUACGGUUAAAUCUUUCCGCAUGUGUUGAUAAUUCACCCUUAACGUUUGGAACGCAUUUAAAAAGACCCUUGCUGAUGCAACUGGAAAAAACGUCAGAGUUGGAAACGCGUUACAAUUCGUCCACUGAUUCAACUGGAAACAAUGUCAAAGUAAAUUCGCUCAUCCAACGGAAAAAGUGUGAGGACCCCUUCGAACUUUUUGUGUAUUGUGACUACCAGCAGUGAUCCGUGUGCAGUUCAUCAAGUCUUUCAGCUCGUCUUUCUAUGUUUGUGUAACUCCGACCAGUCAAGCAGAAGGCGAUGCUGCGAUUUUAAUGAUACUGUCACCAAUUGCCACCACAUCGACUGUUCUUUAUGUUACUAUCCGACCCGCUCGAUUGACAAUCGUUCCUUCGUUCGUCAUCCAGCUUUUCCGUAUUAGUCUCAGCAUAACAACCCUUGACUCUAUUGAACGCGUCAAUCAAGCUCCAACAGCACCAAGGUUAAAUAGCGAGUUCCGUCGGCAUCCUGUGUUAGUCAGUCUUUUGACUCUUCUCCGGUAUGUCCACAUACGUAUCAUGAUAAAUAUCUCCUGUAGCUAUCACGAUACGAAGCGUAUUUUGGCAAGUUGGCACUCGUCCGCCGUACAAUCAGACACUCCAGUGAUGGGAGUCACAUGACCAACAGCAUAAACUGUCGCUUCCCGUAACAGCGACUUCCUUUGUAAUAGAGCCACGUUGCAAAGGCGAUAGUAGUUAUUAAUGCUAGUGCCUAGUAUCCUUAUGGCUCACAACGUGAUACGUCUCUUAACACGCUCCAUGUUUCACCUAAUGGUCACUCGUAGUGUCGAUUGGUUGCUACGUCGGCAAGAUGCAAUGGUUGGCAGGUGCCAAGGGUCCUUCGACAGAGUGCGCAUCAUACUGCAGGCAGGGUUUGAGGAUACGGGGAACAUAAAAAUCUACUGAGUUCUAUCUAGGUCAGAUGUCCUCGUUUUCUCCGGUGGGUGUCGCAUAUGUAAGUGUGCUGUGGCGCUUAACCGUGUGAACAAAGCAAUACAUGUACAGUUGUUUUUAUCCUUAGCUACAUGAAAGAAUGGAUAUCGGGUGGCGCCGCUUUACAACACAACUUCACAAGUAAUACAUCACCCAGGCUACUAUUUAUAAAUAGCAAAGAGAACAAAGAGAAGGCGGAUUUUAUGUGCAUGGUUCAUCUAAUGGAAGCUGCUUUUACAUUGAGACCGCUACAAAUUAUCGACUGAAACCAUCGAAGAAUCUUAUCUUACGAGGCCUAGAGGAAUUGCUCAUAAAUGUCAAACUUACCGCAGGCGAGUGUUCAAAUUGAGUGACGUAUAUCUACUUCUUUAGGACCGUCGCUGCCGCAUGAACUCCUCAGCGAUUCAUCCUUGUCUUGAGCUUUCAUGGAGACCGGCUUUAUAAUUAACUGUCAUUGAACGAGCCGAACCGGAAAGACCAUACUUGCUAAUAUGCAAUAUUAAUUUGCCUUUUCAUCCAUCCGUAAAACUAACUCAAAAGUUACGCAAGAUCUUUGAGUUCAAAACCCGUUAAAAUACCGGUAUCAAAAUAUGAACAGGCAGGUGCAAAACUGAUCGGCACUUAAUUCAUAAUGCGUUUCGUGCCAGUUAUAAGCGCUUGCCAUUGACCUUCGUCCUAUUGUCCGGCAUCUUGCUCAAUCCCUAUACUUCGUACUUGGAUACUCUAGCCACCGUUACCUGAACAGUUAUUUGGCAAGUACAAAGCUUCGAGUCUGCAGAAAUGACUCCUUCUCGUUAAUCAGCAAAGAUAAUUACAUCUCGGGAUCUAGUUGUUCGAUUAGUGCAAGUUUUAACCUCCGGCUUGGCGAUUCGUGAUCCCACCAAAGUGUACAGUACGCGUAGCUGUAUCGAUAGGCCAGUAGUCCAGGUCGAGUGUGAUAUCGGCGAUUCUCAAGAGCAAAUCCUCUAUAGCUUAUUCUGCCGUAACGUCCCCAGUGAAUAGCGCGUUCAUUUAAAGCUAAAUACCAAAUGUCAUGUCGAAUCGCCUCAAGUCGCAUUGGAAAGCAUUUAUUGCACUAUACCUCUACAUCGUCAUUGGCCAUUCAAUGAAAGCAAGCGACUACCUCACAACUAAAUAGCAAAGUGCGUAAUGAUAACACGGCAUGAUAAUCGGCAGAAGUAUGAAAAAUUCAUCCAUCGUUGAGCCUGUUCUCAGCUUAAUCUAACCAACAUUGCGUGUCCUACCUGGAUUAUGGUACCAUGGCUAGCACAAUUGCGGAAAACCAUUUGGCUACCAUUGAUGAACUCCUUAUGUUCAACAGAUACGAGAUGAGCUACCUUACAAUUGAGUGAAUAGUAGGCCAUCACCAUACCGGCUUUCGCUACUCGUGUGAUGCGGAAGCACGCAUGCUAACGUCAGACGACGAUUAGUCAUAUACCGUUUGUGCAUUACUGGUUUGUUCGAGUCAAGUAUCGAACGAAUCAGGCAUUGAGCAGUCUGAAGAGACAGCGAAAGGCAACUGCGUCGCUGACAUACGGGAUAGUAUCGUUUGCAAAAUAGUAUUUUCCAAGCAGAUCAUAUUCAAGCAUAUAUAUGUAUGAGGGGAGAGGAAGUGUAUAUAUAUAUAUAUAUAAAGGGGUAAGAUAUAUAAGUGUAUAUAUAUGUGGGGAGGGGGGGGGGUAAGGUAGCGAGUAGGUAGAAUGGGUGUAUUGUGCUUUGUGCGGAAUCUACCGUUAGAAUCCGUUUUUCAUAGGUAUGUUUUCAUUGGACCGUCGGAGAUUCAAGAGGAGAGACACCGCUGCGAAUUUGAACCCAGCUACACGAGUGCUUGCUGAAGUAACAGCAUAGGUACAAUACCAGAAAAACAAACGCAAAAUUAAUGCGAAAAGCAGGUAAUCCCUGUUCAAAAAAAAAAUAGAUACCAGCGCUGCAUCUUGGAACGUUUCGCGAUGUGGACGUAUCAGUCAGUCCUCCCGAGUUAGAGAAACUGUUCGUUCCGUCGUAAUUCGCUGUCAUCCCUAUGGAUGAACUGUAGAUGAAUGAAUCUCGAUCUACGUGAUCUUUCGACUUGCAUGAUCCGAGUGUCGAGGCUACGACGCGUAACCGCCGCGUAAGAUUGUCUUUUGAAGCGUUACUGGCGAAACCAGUAAUUUACUUAGUUAACUUGCCACAUCUAAUCAGACUGCCAACUGUGUAAUGUACGUACCACUGCCGAGGUCUGGAGCUACAGUCUGGGGAUGUCGCACUGGAGGUGCCAGUCGCCCGCGGAGGUAUCUAAAGGUUUCGAAGACUGAAGCAAAUGCCCGCUUGAUAAACACAGCGUUUAAGUGAACGGUUACAUAAGUGAAAAUACGGUGGGUUGUAAGUACCGCGUGACUGUUCCGGGAUCCGAUUAGGAGCAAUCGCAAAUUUCUCACCCACAGGACGUUUGACGAGACGGAAGAGGCUCUUAACAAAACAAGCGUACACACGAAUAACUCAGGGUUCCGAAGUAGUGUCGAUGACGUUCUUCUGCCGACGUUUUUUAUGGGCAUCUCUUGGCGCUUUUGCCUCAUAGUUCCACAUCUACAACUACCCAUCUACAAACAGAGUGAUUGGUUACGUACUCAACGUAUUCUUCUACGUACUUCUCCAUUAGCCAUCCGUGAUCCGUCAACGUAAUCAGCUCAGCUAUAUUUCUCAAUAGAAGCAAGACGCUUCCAUAAACCAGUGUUUCGUUCACUGUGUGAUUCGGCUGUUUAUCAAAAACUCGCUUAUUACGGGGUAACAUUGACGCUGCACGAUAAGCGUAGAAAAUCCUAAGUUAACUAGUAACGUUCUCAACCAAAUCACAGCAAACCAUUUCCAAGAAACUUUUUUGUACGUUUCAAUCUUCUGUUGCUCUGCUUCCAACAAGGCAGUUUCCCGAAGCCAAUCAUCAAACAUAAGACAACAGUAAACAGAGUGGUUGCUAUUUACCAAACAGUUAGUCAGACCAUGCUAGAUGGCAGGCAGUGGAAGGGCUAUAUCGCAAAGGCAUUGACAGCUGCCCUUGGAGCUGCUGUUAUUUUGUUUAGUGUCCAGUUCCUUUCACAACAACCGAGCCGAGUGAGAAAGGUGCAGCCCCUCGAGCGUUGGCAUUUAACGACUUUGUACAGAGGGAGGCAGCAUCGUCUCAGCUCUUCUGUAGCCACGAGGGUCUAUCACGAGACUGAGCGGAGAGGGACAUAGUGGUCAGCUGUGCCUCAUACCACGGGUAAGCCGAAGCGCUGGCUAACUGCCUAGUUGUCUUGGCUUACCAUGCCACGUCAUCGAUAGGAAUUAUCGCUAAGCCACGAGAGACCAUCGCGGCUGGCUGCGAGUCCGUUAGGGUUGCUGCUGCUCCUGCUUGCCAUGCACUAUGGCUUCGUUCGCAGCCAUCAGUGGUGCUCGGUAGUAGCAGCUCCAGCACAUUUCGGCUUUCGUCGUAAUGCCAGCAUGUAUAUCCCAAAUGGCCCGAAUCGGGCCGAGACAAACCUAGCUUGGCCCCUCUUAGCAAGCUCAAGCAGCUUCACCUCAAUAUAUUAUCUACGUAUGUGGAUCUAUUGGAGGAGUUAGAGGACGAAGAGUGAGACGACGUUACAUACCGAAACGCCAUCGGUGGUCUUCCCGUCGUCUUCUGACGAACAUGAUCCUUCUAAACUCUAGGAGUGUCAGUAUUAUUGUACUGAUAUAAGUGCAAUCACUAUUAUGCCAUUAGGUUGACGACAGUGUACCAAUGGGUUCACGAUGUUGUUGCCAUUGGGAACGAGAACGGGCCACAGCGAAACACUACGGACUGAUGUUGAAACUGCCAUUGUAUGCAUGCGAAGUAUUUAGUCGUGUCAUGAGAAUACCGUAAAUCAGUCAAUUGAUUGAUAUAUAAAACAGAUAAUUGACGGUUCAAAUUUAUUAGCUGUGUGGCUUUUUCUUUGACUGAAGCCAAUGGGAAAACGAAUCAAAUGAAUACAAUGUACUAACUAUUGUAUUUGCCUGUACAAAGAAACAACAGAACUAACGUCGAUAUUACGAGAGCUGUUAUUUCGAGUCCGGCUUUCAGCUGACGGAACUGAAAUUGAAGUCAAACCAAAGCCACUGUUUGAUAAACGGGUACAAAGAUUAUACUGCCGAAUGGUAUACGACGUAGCUUAUUUUCAAGGCUGUGAUCAUUACUUUCAUGUUUCAGGGUUUUUGUUGUCAUUGCAUGAACAGAUUUCAAAAACUACAAAUGUGAAUAUAUAUAAAUUUUAAUUUAAACCUAAAUCUCGCCCCUCAACGACUCAAUGCCCUUAACUUUGGGACAUUGUAAUGUGAGGUGUAACUGUCGCGUACAGCGUAGCAACCUUACGAUAUAUCACGGUAUUCUGUUACAGUUCAAGGUACUACAUUCACAAUGUGACCCAUCUAUAAAACUACGUUUGCACAUUAAUCUAGUCAUCUAACCUCACGAGAGGUGUUAGUUGCUUUCUGUACAUUUAUCUAUCUAUAAAUAAAACCUGGAGUAUAAGCCUCUUUUGUAAAUUUAAA